rnacentral:rRNA from 1 species
GACGAACGCUGGCGGCGCGCCUAACACAUGCAAGUCGAACGAGCGAGAGAGAGCUUGCUUUCUCAAGCGAGUGGCGAACGGGUGAGUAACGCGUGAGGAACCUGCCUCAAAGAGGGGGACAACAGUUGGAAACGACUGCUAAUACCGCAUAAGCCCACGACCCGGCAUCGACCAGAGGGAAAGGAGCAAUCCGCUUUGAGAUGGCCUCGCGUCCGAUUAGCUAGUUGGUGAGGUAACGGCCCACCAAGGCGACGAUCGGUAGCCGGACUGAGAGGUUGAACGGCCACAUUGGGACUGAGACACGGCCCAGACUCCUACGGGAGGCAGCAGUGGGGAAUAUUGCACAAUGGGGGGAAACCCUGAUGCAGCGACGCCGCGUGGAGGAAGAAGGUCUUCGGAUUGUAAACUCCUGUUGUUGAGGAAGAUAAUGACGGUACUCAACAAGGAAGUGACGGCUAACUACGUGCCAGCAGCCGCGGU